rnacentral:rRNA from 1 species
GACGAACGCUGGCGGCGUGCCUAAUACAUGCAAGUUGAGCGAUGAAGAUUGGUGCUUGCACCAAUUUGAAGAGCAGCGAACGGGUGAGUAACGCGUGGGGAAUCUGCCUUUGAGCGGGGGACAACAUUUGGAAACGAAUGCUAAUACCGCAUAACAACUUUAAACAUAAGUUUUAAGUUUGAAAGAUGCAAUUGCAUCACUCAAAGAUGAUCCCGCGUUGUAUUAGCUAGUUGGUGAGGUAAAGGCUCACCAAGGCGAUGAUACAUAGCCGACCUGAGAGGGUGAUCGGCCACAGUGGGACUGAGACACGGCCCAAACUCCUACGGGAGGCAGCAGUAGGGAAUCUUCGGCAAUGGACGAAAGACUGAACGAGCAACGCCGCGUGAGUGAAGAAGGUUUUCGGAUCGUAAAACUCUGUUGGUAGAGAAGAACGUUGGUGAGAGUGGAAAGCUCAUCAAGUGACGGUAACUACCCAGAAAGGGACGGCUAACUACGUG